UCCGUAGGCGGUGUGGUAAGUCGAUAGUGAAAUCUCUGGGCUUAACCCAGAGGCUGCUAACGAAACUACCAUGCUAGAGUGUGAGAGAGGCGAGUGGAAUUACGGGUGUAGCGGUGAAAUGCGUAGAUAUCCGUAGGAACAUCCGAGGCGAAAGCGGCUCGCUGGAUCACAACUGACGCUGAGGGACGAAAGCUAGGGGAGCAAACA
rnacentral:rRNA from 1 species